rnacentral:rRNA from 1 species
UACGUAGGUGGCAAGCGUUUGUCCGGAUUUACUGGGCGUAAAGAGCGCGCAGGCGGUCGUUCAAGUCGCGUGUGAAAGCCCCCGGCUCAACUGGGGAGGGUCACGCGAUACUGAUCGACUCGAAGGCAGGAGAGGGUAGUGGAAUUCCCGGUGUAGUGGUGAAAUGCGUAGAUAUCGGGAGGAACACCAGUGGCGAAGGCGACUACCUGGCCUGUUCUUGACGCUGAGGCGCGAAAGCUAGGGGAGCAAAGCGGG